rnacentral:piRNA from 1 species
UAGCAGGUGAUCAGUAUGGAUGUCAAAGA